rnacentral:rRNA from 1 species
UACGUAGGGACCGAGCGUUGUCCGGAAUCAUUGGGCGUAAAGAGCGUGUAGGCGGCUAUUUAAGUCCUGCGUGAAAUCCUGCGGCUCAACCGCAGACGGUCGUGGGAAACUGGAUGGCUAGAGUGCGGGAGAGGAGAGUGGAAUUCCCGGUGUAGCGGUGGAAUGCGUAGAUAUCGGGAGGAACACCAGUGGCGAAGGCGGUUGCCUGGAGCUUUGCUGACGCUGAGGCGCGAAAGCGUGGGGAGCAAACGGG